AGUCAGUAGCCAAUGAGACCAUGUCAGCGGUUCCGCCCCUCUUCUGCUUUGUUUUAAAAAAACUUGUGACUGCAUUUUAUCACACCAGCAUCUACUAAACUUGCAAAAAUGGGGCAGAACAUUGUGUUGAUACUGAUGACAAUUCCAGACACCAAGAGGGAACUACCUGGACAAACAGCAGAUGUAUCAGAUGUACAUGCUACCCUAUGGGACAAAUGAGAUGCUGUGACAUGAUGGGCAGAGCGAUUAUCAAAACUGAA